UACGUAGGGUGCAAGCGUUAAUCGGAAUUACUGGGCGUAAAGCGUGCGCAGGCGGUUAUGUAAGACAGAUGUGAAAUCCCCGGGCUCAACCUGGGAACUGCAGUCGAGACUGUCUAGCUAGAGUAUGGGAGAGGGAAGUGGAAUUUCAGGUGUAGCGGUGAAAUGCGUAGAUAUCAGGAGGAACACCAGCGGCGAAGGCGGCGCUCUGGGCCGGUACUGACACUGAGGAGCGAAAGCGUGGGGAUCAAACAGG
rnacentral:rRNA from 1 species